rnacentral:tRNA from 1 species
CGGGGUGUGGCGCAGCUUGGUAGCGCGCUUCGUUCGGGACGAAGAGGUCGUGGUUCAAAUCCCGCCACCCCGACCA